rnacentral:rRNA from 1 species
CGUGCAGUCGGGAAUUUGCCCAAUGGACGAAAGUCUGAGGCAGCAACCCCGCGUGAGGGAUGAAGGCCUUCGGGUCGUAAACCUCUUUUCCCAGGGAAGAUCCAAGACGGUACCUGGGGAAUAAGCCACGGCUAACUACGUGCCAGCAGCCGCGGUAAUACGUAGGUGGCGAGCGUUGUCCGGAUUUACUGGGCGUAAAGCGCGCGCAGGCGGCUGGCCAAGUCCGAUGUGAAAGCUUCCGGCUCAACUGGAAAACGGCAUUGGAUACUGGUCGGCUGGAAGGUGGGAGAGGGUAGCGGAAUUCCCGGUGUAGUGGUGAAAUGCGUAGAUAUCGGGAGGAACACCAGUGGCGAAAGCGGCUACCUGGCCCACUCUUGACGCUGAGGCGCGAAAGCUAGGGGAGCAAACGGGAUUAGAUACCCCGGUAGUCCUAGCCGUAAACGAUGAACACUAGGCGUUGUCGGUAUCGACCCCGGCAGUGCCGAAGCUAACGCAUUAAGUGUUCCGCCUGGGGAGUACGGCCGCAAGGCUA